GGGGACGGGUGAGUGAGAGGCUGGAAAGACGGGUUGAGGACCAGGAUGAGACCUCGAAUGGCAUGCAAAGGAGGGUGGCCACAGCCCGGAGGCAGGAGGAAGCCACUGUGAGCUCUGGAGCAGGAGAAGCCGUGGAAAUAGGCUUUGUUUCUGGAACCACCCCAAUAUAGGGGAUCCCCCCAUAUCCCUGCCCAGAAGGAUCUCUCUUAGAAGUCACUGCAACCUGUGAGCUGAGAUUGCACCACCGCACUCCAGUCUGGGCGACGGAGCAAGACUCCGUCUCAAAAAAC
rnacentral:lncRNA from 1 species